rnacentral:snoRNA from 1 species
GCCAAGCGAUGAUGAUGACGACACUCUGUCACUGUCCUGAAAACGACUGAUGGUUUUAAGUCACUACCUCAUCUGAGCUUAUU